UACGGAGGAUGCAAGCGUUAUCCGGAAUUAUUGGGCGUAAAGCGUCCGCAGGUGGCACUUCAAGUCUGUCGUCAAAGACCGGGGCUUAACCCUGGAAAGGCGAUGGAAACUGAAAGGCUAGAGAGAGGUAGGGGUAGAGGGAAUUCCCAGUGUAGCGGUGAAAUGCGUAGAGAUUGGGAAGAAUAUCGGUGGCGAAAGCGCUCUACUGGACCGCAACUGACACUCAGGGACGAAAGCUAGGGGAGCGAAUGGG
rnacentral:rRNA from 1 species